rnacentral:rRNA from 1 species
AUUGAACGCUGGCGGAAUGCUUUACACAUGCAAGUCGAGCGGCAGCACGGGGGCAACCCUGGUGGCGAGCGGCGAACGGGUGAGUAAUACAUCGGAACAUGCCCAGUCGUGGGGGAUAACACUUCGAAAGAAGUGCUAAUACCGCAUACGUCCUGAGGGGGAAAGCGGGGGAUCGCAAGACCUCGCGCGAUUGGAGUGGCCGAUGUCAGAUUAGCUAGUUGGUGGGGUAAAGGCCUACCAAGGCAACGAUCUGUAGCUGGUCUGAGAGGAUGAUCAGCCACACUGGGACUGAGACACGGCCCAGACUCCUACGGGAGGCAGCAGUGGGGAAUUUUGGACAAUGGGGGCAACCCUGAUCCAGCCAUUCUGCGUGAGUGAAGAAGGCCUUCGGGUUGUAAAGCUCUUUCGGCAGGAACGAAACGGUGAGCUCUAACAUAGCUUGCUAAUGACGGUACCUGAAGAAGAAGCACCGGCUAACUACGUG